rnacentral:misc_RNA from 1 species
CUGAAUUGUCAACACGAGUUGUUGCUGGUCUUCUUACGGGGACAUGUGCACGCUCUGUUCACACAUCCACUCACACCUGUGCACCUUCUGUGGUUCUAUGGUUUUGGGAGGCACUGCCCCCCUGCCGUGGUUCUGCAUCUUUACACACACACUGUAAAAAAGUCUUAUGGGAUGUAUGCCGCGUGUAACGCAAUACAAUA